CCUACGGGGGGCAGCAGUGAGGAAUAUUGGUCAAUGGACGUAAGUCUGAACCAGCCAAGUCGCGUGAGGGAAGACUGCCCUAUGGGUUGUAAACCUCUUUUAUAAGGGAAGAAUAAGUUCUACGUGUAGAAUGAUGCCUGUACCUUAUGAAUAAGCAUCGGCUAACUCCGUGCCAGCAGCCGCGGUAAUACGGAGGAUGCGAGCGUUAUCCGGAUUUAUUGGGUUUAAAGGGUGCGUAGGCGGGAAACUAAGCGGAUCUUAAAAGUGCGGGGCUCAACCCCGUGAUGGGGUCCGAACUGGUUUUCUUGAGUGCAGGAGAGGAAAGCGGAAUUCGUGGUGUAGCGGUGAAAUGCUUAGAUAUCACGAAGAACUCCGAUUGCGAAGGCAGCUUUCCAAGCUAUUACUGACGCUGAGGCACGAAAGC
rnacentral:rRNA from 1 species